GAGGACACGAGAUGACCGCAGGGCAUGAGACUAACAUGUCCUGCAGCUCAGGAGCCCUGGAAAUGACCGGGCAGAAUGCUGGUUGGGGUGAGCGCCAGAUCGGGAGCCAGGGGGUGUGGCGGGAGACAGAGGGCCGGCAGGGCAGCACCAGGCUUUCCCGCGCCUUUCUAUUCUCUCCCCCAGGCUGGCCUUCUGUGACCGUCACCCACCACCCCCUGUGGAGGGCAGGCCUCACCAGGCUGGGACAUCUGCCUUGUGUGGGGAUUCGCCUCUGUCUAGGGCCCACCCAGGAAGGACGCACAGAGACCUAGGAAGUGGCAGGCUCUGGCCCAAGGGCUCGACCAGGAUCUGACCUCGUGCUUUCUGGGGCUCUUGGCCUUGCCAGACCCCUUCUUCCAUCAAAGCUCCUUGGAAAGCGCGUUACACGACUGUGCAACGGACACAUGCAGUGUACCCUCAACCCACAAGGCGCUCACACCAGCAGGACUCAUCUCCCCUGAUUUUACAGGAAAUUAAAACAAGAGUUUUAACAGAAUCCGAGCCCGAUGAGGAGGCAGCGCUGCUGGGAAGGCUGGGAAGGAAGACCCAGCACCCACAGCUGUCCCCAGAGGGGAGGGAGGGGCUGGCUGGCUUUGCAGUGGCAGGUGUCCUGGAGCCUGUGGAGCCCCUGGUGCGAGACUAACCAGGCCUCCCUGCACCCACCCCAGACUCCAGUCUUGGGGAAAGACGAGGCGAAGGGCCUCUCCAUGAGGGAAGGCCCUGCCCCUCGGGCCUCUCCUGCUUGAGCACUGGUGUGUGGGCGCUGGAUCUGUGCCCAUUCUGCCCACCAGGACGGGCAUGGAGCUCAGGGCCUGCGUGGUCCUAUAGAGGGUCUGCACCCAAACUGCCUUUGGAAACUGGGUAUACAGGGGAGGCUGUAGGAGAGGAGGGGGUUCCUGACGUCAGGGUGGGCAGCUAGCCAGCAGCUCAGGUUCCUGGGGACUCCUACCUUCUGAUGAGUCCUCAUCCCAAAGCCCUCAUGCUGCUUGCUCCCUCUUGGGACAUGCAGCCCCCAGCCCAACCAAAGCAUUGAGGGACACCAGGACUGACUGCUUCUAGAAGGCUCUCGGCUGAAUGGGAGGAGCCUCUGAAGACCUGUACGGGUUGGCCUAGCCCUUGACAUGGCACCAUGGUGUGUUUGGAAGGGGCUGGUGGCUGCAGGGCAUCAGGCCACAGUCCCAUCCUGAACACCCAUAUUCUCUGUCCUGGAGUUGGGGCUGGCAAAGGGGUCACUACAAUCUGAGGUGCCUGGGAAUAGGCUCAGGCCACACAGGUCCUAGCCACCUGUUGCCCCGUGGCUCUCCCCAGCCCCUUGUGCCUCUCCUUGGUGACCCCUUCCUGAGGCGGGCUGGGGGCAGAACGUGGGGAGAAACCUGCCUGGAAGGCCAGGCCGCCGGGGUUAAAAUGGAUGGGCAGGGUCUGCCCUUGCAGGCCACCCUGAAGGCCAGGGCAAGAGGGUGCCGAGGGCAGGCUGUCAGGCCUCCCCCCUGGGCUGGAUGCACCCACAACCUCCCCUGGGCUGUCCUAGGUGCACACUAGAUGCUCAGCUGCCCCAUUUUAUAUGCAGCCUCAAGAUGAGCCAGGCCAGGUGGUGGUGGUGGUCUCUGAAGGAGUGAAGGUCUAGGGGUCCCAGUGGGCCUGGGCUCGCCUGUUUCCUGGAGGUGCCUUGUUUGUGCAAAGGUCUGCUGCAGGGGCAGUGGCUCGAGGUCAGGCCCUGGGCUGUGCUGCCAUCUUUUCAGCCUGCCCAGCCCCCACCAGGCUGCCGGGCCUUGCCUCUGCUGUGCCCUGAGGCUCUUGCACAUGACUCCGUGGUGUGGUGGCCCCGACUGUCUUGGUGCCCCUGACAGGCUUUUGUGCAGACGGGAUGAUUAUGAGACUAGCUCAUCCAAGUGUCAGUUCUGCUCUGAAAGCUCCUUCCCACUCCAUCCAGCCUGGCACUCCGGGGCCCGGCUGCGGCAAGGGUGCCUGGGCACUGCCAGCCGCAAGCUCCUCAGAGCCCUCCUCCGGCUGUGUCCUGCUCUCACCCAGCCCAGCCCCAUUACAGAGCUGGGGAAACUGAGGCCCCAGGACCGCUGACCACCAGGUAUUUCCCCACCGUGGGCACAGCAGACCAGACACUCCUGAAGGGA
rnacentral:lncRNA from 1 species